UUUCACUGCAGGGGCUGGUGGUCCAAUUGCCGGGAGACACUCACACAGAUAAAAGGGCACGGCUGCCACUCCGUCACAGACUGCUGACUCAGCAAAAACUUGUCCAGUAUUUAUAGUGCAGAAGGAUACAGAAUUAUCACCUUGCAGUGCCCGGCGCGUGUUCCUUCGGAGAUUGCCUUCCUUUAUGGGAUUGCUAAAUGCAGCUUCUCCAGCUGGAAGGAUCCGGUCCCAGUGAGAACUUUCUCUUGCGCAUCUCCAACCUCAGCGCUUCCGCUGAAUUUCAGCUGUGAAGGCGGAGGAGCUCACACGUACCUUCUCGCCUACCGAGCGCGGUUAUUCCUGGAGGAGAAGACUGAUGCGCUGGUCGUCCGGCUUCUAGUUCUUUGGCUGCACCCUACCUAAGAGGGCCCACGAAGCCGGCAAGGCUCUGCAGCUUCUAAGUUCAAAAAAACAAAAGUCAGGACGUACAAGCCAUCACAUGCAGUCCAGGGAGAAGAAUUCAAUUUCAGGAAGCAUGCCACCGCUCGGAAGGAACAUUAACAAGGCUUUUGUACCCAGAUCGUCCCUGGCCAGCGUCAGGUAGGACUCCAAAAUGUAGCCAGCACCUUCAGGGACUGUCCAUGGGGAAAUCAUCUUUGUGCCUGUUUGAACGGCCUCAUACUGGCGGGAAUCAUUGCUGCUAUCAUCACAGGAUUGUCGUGUGGAAGUUUACUGUCACUGGCAAUAAACAUAGAUGAAAGGGGGGUGGUGAAUAAGAAAACAAAAGGGAAAAGUAGAAGCAAAAAAUGCACCAGAGUGAAAAAAAUAUCCAUAAACGAGUUGUUU